AGGAAUUAAGAAUUAGGAGUUAAAUUCCCCUCUCCUUGUUAAGGAGAGGGGUGUCGGUCGGACGGGGUGAGUUUUCAAUCAACCCAAAUUCUC
rnacentral:tRNA from 1 species